AUGCUUAACGUUGUUACAGAGCUGGCCUCACCCUCCAUGCACUGCGGAGUCUGGACAUACAGUUUUCUAAAGAAUUGUGUUCUUCUUGACAAGCCCAACAUACAUGUGAGAACCUUUAUGGACCUGUCUUCGUGGGUUCCACCAUCCACUUUCACCCCUGCCAGCAAAGGGCACUACAGUUUUCUCUCAAAUUUUAAGGCAUGGAAGCUUCAGAUAUAUAUCAAACCUCUCUACAGAUGAGUUGCAUAAUGUUUUUAAAUAUGUAAAAAGAAGGAUUUAGUCUUCUGCUUGCCCUCUGUGGGAAACGAGAAGAGCUUCAUCGUUGUGAUAUUGUUAGAGGCGCACAACACUAGUGAUUUUCAUUUUAGUAGACUACAGAAAAUGUGUGCAGACCGUGAGAUAUCCUGCAGACGGAUGAAGAUCCAUAGUUUCUGAGACUUUGUGUUGGGACCGUCGAUUCCUGAGUUCUGCUUGUAGACACAGCCAGACGUGCAAAGCAGGCAGGUCACCAUGGGCCUUCCGUUUUAGGAAUCAGAACACACAAAGGCAUCUGGUGAGCUCUGCUCUGACUUCCAGGAUGCCAGGGCUUUCUACAGCCAUCAAAGCUUACACUUGCCACCGGCUUAAAGUGCACACAUUCCUUGGCUCACCGUGUCCCAGGGGAAACCUUCUCGAAUCUUCUUUUGUGGGGAAGACCAGCCAGUGGAAAAUAUGAAAUUUGCAGAGGCAGAUUUUAAAUGGUAAUGACUUUAUGAAAUUGUUCUUAACACUUUUAAAUGUAUACUGGUUCAUUUCUUUUUUUUUCGAGAACACAAUACAUCCUUUUUGAGUUUCCAUUCAAAGCCUGCUGUAUCUAUAAGGCAAAUGCACUCCUUCUCCAUGAAGGAAAUUUGUGGAGAUAAGAUGAAUGGUAAUUAUCACGAAGAGUUAAAAUGGUGACUCAGUUGAUAGGUGAAGGUUAUCAGAAGGAAAAUAUGGAAUGAUAGAUUAGCAAACUUGUUGAUGGACUCACUUUGCUUUCUUAUUUUCUGAAGUGCUCUUUGCAACUCUCUGAUAAAACCAAAUUUGUGACCAAGUGCUGUAAUACAAAACAAUACAUAAUAUUAACUUGGUGGGAAAGAAAAUGCAUUCUCCUGAUUUGUUUUAUGGUCUCCAAAGUGAUUUUACUGAAUACGUGUAAUUUAUAGGGCGAAGUGAAAAAUAACAUACUUAUUCACUCUAAGAACGUAUUAUUUUUAUU
rnacentral:lncRNA from 1 species